rnacentral:rRNA from 1 species
GAAAGUAAAUAAGGGCGUAUGGGGAAUGCCUAGGCUCUUGGAGGCGAAGAAAGACGUGGUAAGCUGCGAAAAGCUCCGGGGAUUUGCAAACAAGAUUUGAUCCGGAGAUUUCUGAAUGGGACAACCCGUCAGGUAGAAGACCUGACACAUCGUAAGAUGGGCCAACCCUCUGAACUGAAACAUCUUAGUAGGAGGAGGAAAAGAAAGAAAUAUCGAUUUCCUGAGUAGCGGCGAGCGAAAGGGAAAAAGCCUAAACCGGUAUUGUUACGGCAAUGCCGGGGUUGUAGGACUGCAACAUUCAAGUAACAAUGAACUGGAACGAUCUGGAAAGUUCGUCCAUAGAGGGUGAAAGGCCCGUACAGGUAAGUUCGUUAUGCGAUAGCAGUAUCCUGAGUAGGGCGGGACACGAGGAAUCCUGUCUGAAUCUGCCGGGACCACCCGGUAAGGCUAAAUACUCCCAAGAGACCGAUAGUGAACCAGUACCGUGAGGGAAAGGUGAAAAGAACCCCGAACAGGGGAGUGAAAUAGAACCUGAAACCAUACGCUUACAACCGGUCGGAGCAGCUUCGUGCUGUGACGGCGUGCCUAUUGAAUAAUGAGCCUACGAGUUACUAAUCACUGGCGAGGUUAAGUGCACGGAUGCACGGAGCCGAAGCGAAAGCGAGUCUGAACAGGGCGGCUAGUCAGUGGUUGUAGACGCGAAACCUUGCGAUCUACCCUUGAGCAGGUUGAAGGUUGGGUAAAACCAACUGGAGGACCGAACGAAUAAGCGUUGAAAAGCUUCUCGAUGACUUGAGGGUAGGGGUGAAAGGCUAAUCAAGCUGGGAAAUAGCUCGUACUCCCCGAAAUGCCUUUAGGGGCAGCGUUGUAAUUAAGAGUCUACUGGAGGUAGAGCUACUGAUUGGAUGCGGGGGCUUCACCGCCUACCAAAUCCUGACAAACUCCGAAUGCCAGUAGUAUGAUUUACAGCAGUGAGCGACCGGGUGCUAAUGUCCGGUUACGAGAGUGGAACAACACAGACCAGCAACUAAGGUCCCGAAGAGUAUACUAAGUUGAUCUAACGAUGUUUUGCUGCAGAGACAGCUAGGAUGUUAGCUUGGAAGCAGCUAUUCAUUCAAAGAGUGCGUAACAGCUCACUAGUCGAGCGGCAAAGCGUGGAUAAUAAACGGGCAUCAAGUAUACCACCGAAGUUCUGGGCACGAGAGUGCGGUAGGGGAGCAUUCCAUUGACGUCGAAGCCAUUCCGCGAGGAUAGGUGGAGUUUAUGGAAAAGCAAAUGUAGGCAUGAGUAACGAUAAUGCGGGAGAGUAACCCGCACACCGCAAGACCAAGGUUUCCUGAUCAACGCUAAUCGGAUCAGGGUUAGUCGGGUCCUAAGGGUAAGCCGAACGGUGAUCUCGAUGGACAAUCGGUUAAUAUUCCGAUACUAACAUAUACCUCGAUGGAGAGACGAAGGAACGUAAGUGACGCCGCCUGACGGAAUAGGUGGUUAAAGGGCGUAGGUAUAGGGACAGAUUAAGAGUUAGUCCUUGCUGAAACCCGACAGUACGGAGCGGCUACGGCCAAUCUGAUAGUUCACCCAAGUCGACUUCCGAGAAAAUCUUCUAAGUUAUAGUAUAUGUUACCCGUACCGUAAACCGACACAGGUGGUCGAGGAGAGUAUCCUAAGGUGCUCGAGUGAAUCACGGUUAAGGAACUAGGCAAAUUAACCCCGUAACUUCGGGAAAAGGGGUCCCUACGCGAGUAGGGCGCAGCGAAGAGGUCCAGGCGACUGUUUAUCAAAAACACAGGGCUCUGCAAAUUCGAAAGAAGACGUAUAGGGCCUGACACCUGCCCGGUGCUGGAAGGUUAAGAGGGGAUGUCAUCGCAAGAGAAGCAUUGAAUCGAAGCCCCAGUAAACGGCGGCCGUAACUAUAACGGUCCUAAGGUAGCGAAAUUCCUUGUCGGGUAAGUUCCGACCUG